rnacentral:rRNA from 1 species
GGGGGCAAGCGUUGUUCGGAUUUACUGGGCGUAAAGCGCGCGUAGGCGGCUAUUUAAGUCAAAUGUGAAAUCCCCGAGCUUAACUUGGGAAUUGCAUUCGAUACUGGUUAGCUAGAGUGUGGGAGAGGAUGGUAGAAUUCCAGGUGUAGCGGUGAAAUGCGUAGAGAUCUGGAGGAAUACCGAUGGCGAAGGCAGCCAUCUGGCCUAACACUGACGCUGAGGUGCGAAAGCAUGGGGAGCAAACAGG